AACAAUUUCAAAAUCUCAGUAAUUUAAAGUAACAAAUGAUUAUGGUUUUUGCUCCCAAGUCUGCAGGUUAUUUGGGUUAGCCUCUCCUUCAUGCUGUGGUUUACCUGAGCUUGACUCCUGGCUGUGGGGGUGAAGUCACAUCUAAUCCACUUUCUUCAAUCAGUGGCUACUCAAGGUAUGUUCUUUUCAUGGUGCAAGGCAGAAAUACAAGGAACAAGUCUUUGAAAGGACAUCUAAAACCUUUGCUUGCCUCAAUAUGCAAGCAUUCCACUGGUCAAAACAAGACACAUGGUCAAGCUCAAUAUCAAUUGGCUGAGUGGGAAAAUGUACUCUAUAUUAUAAUAGGAAUUGCAAAGUCAUAUGGCAAAAGACAUGGGUGUUUAUUUCUUUAACAUUAACAGCUAAAGAGUUUGGAGUAACAAUCCAAAUGAAAAAUAUCAAAGACAAAUAAAAUAAAAAAACUAAACGUGAAUUUUAUCAUGGACACUUCAGGACAAAUAUGAUAUUCUGAAUCAGCAACAUAUUAGACAUUACAUACACAUGCAUACUGUCCUCUACAGCAAUUCUAAGAUUUUAUAAUUUCCUUUUAUAAUUAAUUAUUUUAGUUAGUAAUAACUCUUAGUGAUAGUACAAUCUGGGGUCACCUGACCUAGAAAUCUUCAACAUGUGCAUGUGAUGAAUAUUUAUUGUAUAUAGCUGUCAAGCAUCUUUUCCUCCUUUUUUGGUAACUGUGCAUCACCUUCCUAUUAAGAAACCACCUGGAGGCCAUGUUUCACCCAUUCUGUGAAGACACAGCUGACCUCAUAUCUCAUCUCCAGGGGUAAGAAUGUGAUCUAUGCUGAUUGUUAUCACAUUCCAUUCCCCUGUCACAAUGUUUGGGUUCUGAUAAGGCUUACAAAUGAAGCCAAAUCAAUUAAGACUCAUCCUUGGGUCUUUGGCUUAAACUGUUAGGAAAAAAGUGCUUACUUUUUUCUCUGAGUUUGCAGACCUGGUAGAAUGUAAGCUUGACAGUGUGUUUGAACAGCUUUGCUACUGCAUGAGAAAAGCCUGCCUGAGAAUAUAGCCAAGACAUAAGAAGGCGGAGCCAAGAGAUGGACAGAGAUAAUGUUUGAGCUCCUAAUUCCAGUCUGAAGUCAUCUGUGUAUGUGUACUUCCCAGUUACAAAACUAACACAUUUUCAUUGUGCUUGAGUCAUUUUGAUUGUGUUUGUCACUUGAAAUCUAUACCAUUCAUACUAACACCAGUUGCGGGCUUUUCUUCUGCAGUCCUCCUCCAAAAUGCCCCAUUUCUGGACUCACUUAUAUCACCUUGCUUGCACACACAUGUCCCCACAUCUUUCAAGGAUCCUCUACUUUCUUAUAAUCUUAAUUUUUCACUAUAUCCUAGAUGCAUAAUUCAUUUGUUAUUUUUCCUGAAAGAGCAGAGUUGCUGAAUUAAGUUGCUAUUUAACCAGCAUUUUUGUUUUCUCAUUUAAGCAUUCAUAUUAACCCCCAGAUCUCAGUGAAAAUGUGUCCCAAGUUUUAUAUAUUUCAUCGUAUGUCUUAAGACUCUGACUAAACCUAUUACUGUGCCAUUCGUUUCCUUCAAAGGAAGGAAGACUUCCCUUCAAAGUAUACUAAAUUCUCUGUCUGGAAGAACAAAUGCCAUAUCUCAUGGAUGAAUGUAUUCUUGUAAACCAUGUGACACCUGCCAUUUUUCUCCUUUGUAUUUAUGGCUUCGUCAGUACCUGUUAAGCUACAAUGUUAAAUUGUCUUUUGACCAAUAUAGAUUGCCAACCCCUUCCUUGCUGAUGCUAAGCCUCUUUGUAAAAAGGCCAUGAUGUAUUGAAGCCAUACUUCUAUGCCAAAAUCACUAAUAGAGCUUAUGUACUUACUGAUGGAUGGAAGCUCUUGAUAUGCCAAAGCCUUGUUUUGAAUUCCUUUCCUCCAACAAUGACAUGUUGCUUGAGUCUCAAAUCAGUGUUGCCUUUUAAUUCAGAUAUAUCACAAUGAUUAUCAAUUUAUAUGCAUAGUUUAAUCUAUGGGAACUUGUGAAAAAAAAUUUGAAAGAUGGAGGCAAUAUUAUGGUACUCAGAAUUACUCUGAUCCCUUAAACCUUCGAUCAGGUUUUGCCUUUCUUUCUAUGACUACUUGCCUCAAGGUUUCUUGAUUUCUUGGAAGGGAGAGGAGACUUGUCCCUUGCAGUCCUUCAUUGGUGGAAUUCUACAUUAUUACAGCUUCUGAUCAUGUUGGGAAUCCCACCACAAAAAAAUAAAACAUUUAAGAUUGGAUACAUUGGGUUCAUGAAUUCUUAUAGGCAUUAAACUUAUAAACUAACUUCUAAGAUACAGCUUCAUUAUCUCAUCUUAUCCUCAGAACAACAAACGAUUAGAUCAAUGCAGGUUAACACUACAGAAGCUUAACACUAAAAUAGAAUGGGGGUAUAUCUUUAGGCAAGCAGGAACACUUCAGAAGUCUCAGUGGAUCCAUCAUUCUCUGUUAGAAAUUAGAGAGCUAUUAGAAUUAUUUAAAUCAUCAGACUUAUUCUUUGGUUC
rnacentral:lncRNA from 1 species